UUGACGGGCCCCGCACAAGCAGCGGAGCAUGUGGUUAAUUCGAAGCAACGCGAAGACCUUACCAGGGCUUGACAUGCCGCUGACCGGUUUAGAGAUAGACCUUUAUCCUUCGGGGUACAGCGGACACAGGUGGUGCAUGGUUGUCGUCAGCUCGUGUCGUGAGAUGUUGGGUUAAGUCCCGCAACGAGCGCAACCCUUGUCUUUAGUUGCCAUCAUUCAGUUGGGCACUCUAGGCGAGACUGCCGGUAAUAAACCGGAGGAAGUGGGGAUGACGUCAAAUCAUCAUGCCCCUUAUGACCUGGGCUACACACGUGCUACAAUGGUUGGUACAACGAGUUGCGAGUCGGUGACGGCGAGCUAAUCUCUUAAAGCCAAUCUCAGUUCGGAUUGUAGGCUGCAACUCGCCUACAUGAAGUCGGAAUCGCUAGUAAUCGCGGAUCAGCACGCCGCGGUCGAAUACGUUCCGGGCCUU
rnacentral:rRNA from 1 species